AAGUGAUUAGCUCAACAGGUAGAGUAUUUUGUUUACACCAAAAUGGUUAAGGGUUCGAAUCCCUUAUUACUUA
rnacentral:tRNA from 1 species